rnacentral:rRNA from 1 species
UAGUAAUGGCGAAUGAAGAGGGAAAAGCCCAAAUUUGUAAUCUGGCUCUUUCAGAGUCCGAGUUGUAAUUUUAAGAACUGUUUUCAGUGCUGGACCAUGUACAAGUCUGUUGAAAAGCAGCAUCAUAGAAGGUGAUAAUCCUGUUCAUGAUAUGGACUACCAGUGCAAUAUGAUACAGUCUCUAAGAGUCGAGUUGUUUGGGAAUGCAGCUCAAAGUGGGUGGUAAAUUCCAUCUAAGGCUAAAUAUUGAUGAGAGACCGAUAGCAAACAAGUACCGUGAGGGAAAGAUGAAAAGAACUUUGGAAAGAGAGUUAACAGUACGUGAAAUUGUUAAAAGGGAAACAAUUGAAGUUAGACUUGUUAUUAUUAGUUCAACCUUUUUUUAGAGGAGUAUUCUAAUGAUUAACAGACCAACAUCAGUUUUUGGGUGUUGGAUAAGGGUUCAAGGAAAUGUAGCAGUCUCUGGCUGUGUUAUAGUCCUGAGCUUUGAUACAAUGCUUAAGAUUGAGGAAUGCAGUAAGC